ensembl:lncRNA
GGGGGGGGGGGGGGGGGGGGGGGGGGGGGGGGGGGGGGGGGGGGGGGGGGGGGGGGGGGGGGGGGGGGGGGGGGGGGGGGGGGGGGGGGGGGGGGGGCGCCCCUCGGGGAAGCAGCGGGGGCACGGGGCCGUGCGGCCGUGGAACUACAGCUCCCGGCACGCUCCGCGGCGGGAGGCGGGGCCGCCCUCCCAGCGAGCGGCGCGGCCUCAGCCGGUGGUCGGCGGUUCGCGCAGCUUUCGCUCGGUGUCUGAACCAGACGUGGCUGCCUCAGCGCUCGCCCCAAUGGAGGCAUUGGGAGUGGCGUCCCUCAAAAUAACCGGCUGUAGCUUAGGGCGGCAAAGCGAUAAUGAUCAAUAACCUGGUGCAAGCCUCUUAUGUAAACCAGAUCUUUUGCCCUGUUUUGUUCACGUGUGCACAGCCAGCCCUUGGAGCCCUCCCACAGGAGGUGAGUGGGGACAGGGGCACAGGUGUCAAGGUAGAGAAGGAAGUUGGGUCAGAACAGUGCUUCCCCACCUCUACAGCUUUAGAUCACACCUUUCCCAUUGUAACAGGCACAAUGUUUGAGACAAAAAAAUGCUUAUGUCUGGUUCUCCAUAGAUGGCAAAAGCAAAUAAAUAAAAUAGGAUGGUUGGAUGAUACAGCAUGGCUACUGGAGGCUAGAAGCUGGUUGAAAGAAGAGUGAAAAACGAGGCCAGUUCCUGUAUUUGGCUCUUCCUUUUACUGUUACUUUGAUCCAUUUUGAGCUGUGUUUGCCAUUCAUAUGGAAUUUUUAUUUGAUUUGCAUUGUUCUGUAGAGGCCAAAGGUUGGAUGUGAUGCAGAAGUCCAAGUUCUGUGGGAUCCAAGAGAAGCUUUAGGAUGAGACCGCUGGCAGUUUUUGUUCACAUUUCAUUUGACUAUCAGCAAUCAUUAGGAGACUAAAUGAACAAGUGGUUACAUCUUCCCAGCCCGUUUCCAUUGUCAAGUACAGUACUUCCAUAAAACUUUGAUUCUAGAGUUACAGAUCAAAUACUGGAAGAAGAUAUUUUUGGAAUUAAGUGUCUUUUAAUAAAUGUGAAUUUAAAAAGCAAUUUGGAUCUGAAACUGCUCCAAAUCAAUUCACUGAGUUUUUGCAGAAAUCUUCAGUGAGAAAACUUUAGGAAAAAAACACUUCUAUUUGUAAAAUUGACAGGGGAGUCCAACACAGUGUUUAAAUUAAGGUAGCAUUUAAUAGUGCUCUUUACAAAUGAAAAUGCAGAGCAUUUUUAUGGAGCUAAAAUUGUCUGUUACCAGCACUCACUAGCCUGGCAUUAAAAUUAUGCCUGUAGAUGUAUUCUUUGGUCGUACGACCUGCCUGAAUAUACUACCUCUAGGAUAAGAGGAAGUGAGAAAUGAAAAGUACCUUAGCUAGAGCUGGUAGCAGUUCCCAUGAAUUGUCCCUACAAGUCACAGAAGUGAUGAAAUGUUCGAUUGAGGACUGGAAAGAUGAAGUAACAAGUUGUGAUUUUUUCUGCCUGCCCAAAUACCGCACAACUUUCACAGAGGUCAUUGACCUGGUGCCUGGCAGAAACUGCUUUUCAUUACUGCUUAGGUUUGGGCUAAAGCCAGCACUUUUAUCAAUUUUCUGUGGCCUUGCCUUUAUUAAAGAAAGUUUCUGAUUAACCUCUCAGCAGUACAGUUGUCCCUUCAAAGGAAAAAAAAAUCACAUUAUGACAACUGACGCUAGCAGAAAGAGGAAGCAGGGUCAGCUCUGUGGUUGUAUUUGCUUACACAACUGUACUGCCAGUGCCUGUUAGCCUCUCACCUAUCUUUCCUUCUCUUAAUCCACCCACUAAUUUCAGGUAAAUUCUGUACAGUGUUAGAGGAUUCCGUGGUAUGAUAUUCCCACACCUUUCCUGAAAGUGGGUGAUUUGGGAGAAAAGAAAGACCCACUUAGCUCCCAAAUGAGGGAAAGGAGAAACAAUGCUGUAUGUCUGUUUUUCCAAAAGUGGCUGUCCAUGAGUAUUGGCCAGCUCAUUACAUUAUAGGUAUGGCACGUAUUAUCAAUACAUAUUAUGUCUUAUCUUAGUCAAGCAAGAGAUACGGGGGAGCUAUGAGCCAUGAGUAUUUGGGACAUGACUCACUGAGGGAAGUUAGGUAGUAAAAAGGCAGGAACGGGGUAUGUUACAGGGAGCCUAGAGGAGAAAUUGGGAUCUUGUGUAGGACAUGGGAGGGAGUUGAAAUUAUUGUAAUGAGAGAGCAUGGAAACUGUAGGGGAAGCUUGGGUUGUUUUGAUAAGAAGGGAGGACAUUACUGAUACAAAACAAGUCUUCGUUGCUGUCGCUGGUGAUGCAGCAUCUUGUUUUCUGACAAGCAAAGAAGAAUAACAGACCAUGACCUGAUAGUAAUAAGAGAUUUGCCGGAGAAACAAAGAAAAGUCUGAGCUGCAGUGCUACAGAUAGUGGAAAAUGAGAGGUAGAGGAGUGCCUAGGAUAAGGUAAUUUCAUGCAAAGGUGGAAAAACAAGUAGUCUGGCAUCUCUACAAUGACUGGUAAAAAAGGAAGAAGUGCAUGAAGAUUCUAUCACAUGUAGUUAAUAAAUAGAAACUGCACUUGAUUGACGUCUGACAUGAAAAAAUAAUAUAAAUGGAUAUUGUCAUUAUCUGUUGAUCACAAGCAGUUCAUUUACAUUUCAAAAGGAGGGAACAGAACAGUGGAAAGCAGCUGAAAAAUUAACUGAUUACUAAGAGCAGCGAGAUCUUCACUUGCUACCCUCUGGGUAGCGACCUGUUGAGAGGGACGUGAGCUAAAGAUCAGCAUAGACAAACAAAUGCUGUAAAUGACAGUGUAGUAUUUCAGACACUUCCAGGUUCCUCUAGGAUU